rnacentral:rRNA from 1 species
GACGAACGCUGGCGGCGUGCUUAACACAUGCAAGUCGAACGGAAAGGCCCUGCUUUUGUGGGGUGCUCGAGUGGCGAACGGGUGAGUAACACGUGAGUAACCUGCCCUUGACUUUGGGAUAACUUCAGGAAACUGGGGCUAAUACCGGAUAGGAGCUCCUGCUGCAUGGUGGGGGUUGGAAAGUUUCGGCGGUUGGGGAUGGACUCGCGGCUUAUCAGCUUGUUGGUGGGGUAGUGGCUUACCAAGGCUUUGACGGGUAGCCGGCCUGAGAGGGUGACCGGCGACAUUGGGACUGAGAGACGGCCCAGACUCCUACGGGAGGCAGCAGUGGGGAAUAUUGCACAAUGGGCGGAAGCCUGAUGCGGCAACGCCGCGUGCGGGAUGACGGCCUUCGGGUUGUAAACCGCUUUCGCCUGUGACGAAGCGUGAGUGACGGUAAUGGGUAAAGAAGCACCGGCUAACUACGUG